AGUGCCUGGAAUUCCACCAUCAGCGCUUUAUUCCGAGUUUCAGUGCAGACCUGGGCCAGAGAGAGAGAGAGCCAAGGAAGUCCACAGUGGAGAGAGGGCUGUGCUGGGGGUUCCAGGAAGACUUCCUGGAGGAGGGGAUCUUGGAGCUAGGCCUUGAAGACGAGUUUGUCAAAUGAGGAAGGGCAUCCGAAGCCGAGGGAACGGCAGGAGGGAACGCUGGGGAGGGGAGACAAUCUGGAGAGUUCCAGAAAAAGCAAGUAGGACUCUUUCCAGAAGUUUGGGCAAGAUUUUCCCUGGACCAGGGCGUGGGUUCUCCAGUACUCGUCCCUCCCGGUCACUGAGAUGCUCUGAGUUUCCGGUCUGAACCUGAACAGAAAGAGGUGUAGUCCCUCCUUUCUUGAACGGGAAAACUGAACGCACAUACGUACUUGCCACGCCUAAGGCUGCGGAGUGAGCAGAUGGAAAAUGCGGGACUCAAAACCUCCCCUCUCUGUAAUUUGCACUGCCCUGUGCCAAGCUCUGUCCUUUCUUCCAUUCCUUAUUCCUAUUGUCAGCCUCGCUGCUCUAGGAC
rnacentral:sRNA from 1 species